rnacentral:other from 1 species
UUGAUCCUGAGGUGCACGUUAAGGUUUUGUAAUUUAACCUACAUUAUGUUCACGGGAUUUCGAGUUUUUCCGCAGAUGCCGGGCCGUCAUUGAAUGGAAGGCAGAAACGGGAACAGAAAACCCACCUAUCUUAGAUAGGGUGUGAAUUAUAGGCCUGACGACACAUCGGGAUUAUC